CACGCAUUUAUCAAAUAAUGAAAUAUGAUAAUUUAACAAGUGGAUACACUUCCAGACAGGCUUCUAUACAAUUGGCACACCAAAAAUUCCUAUUUCCUCUCCUGUUCUACACUCAACAGAUCAAAACCUAAACACAGAAUAUGCUAAGAUUUUGCCUAUAUUUCUUCGAAAGUAGGAAUCACUCUAUAGGGAAAUGGUAGUACUGAAGUAGCAAAACAAGUAUGAUUACAUCAUGGAAGUUUCUGAUGAACCAAAUUCUAAGCUUUGUGAAACGAGACUCAUUUCAUGAGC
rnacentral:misc_RNA from 1 species